UAUCAUUAAUUUUACUCAGGAUAGAUGGU
rnacentral:piRNA from 1 species